CGGGGUGAGUAACGCGUGGGUGACCUGCCCCAUACCGGGGGAUAACAGCUGGAAACGGCUGCUAAUACCGCAUAAGCGCACAGAGCUGCAUGGCUCAGUGUGAAAAACUCCGGUGGUAUGGGAUGGGCCCGCGUCUGAUUAGGCAGUUGGCGGGGUAACGGCCCACCAAACCGACGAUCAGUAGCCGGCCUGAGAGGGCGACCGGCCACAUUGGGACUGAGACACGGCCCAA
rnacentral:rRNA from 1 species